rnacentral:lncRNA from 1 species
ACACUACUGCAACAUCAAGCAAGUCACUGACGAGUGGAUAGACAUCCAAGUAAUUUCUUGUCUUGGUCACGCUCAGUACCCUUGUUCUCUAACAAGCACCCGCACUAUCACUUUAGUGUCCCUACACUGGGGACUCGAGUCUCGUCCAUCCAUAAGGAAAGCGAUCUGUGCACUGAUCGGAUCGAUCACCGUCCUCGUGAUGAUCCAUUGAUUAGGAGCAUUUAGAAAUUAAUCACUAAUGAUACAUGGCUCAAAUUCUCAACUCUUGAGAAUAUGUAUCAUCAUCUUAUUAAUUCUUGGAUGAUUCAUAGACACAUAAACAAUAUGAAUGAAAAGAUGCCCAUUUAUUAUUCAAUAAUAAUAAAGUCAAGUACAAAUUUAU